AGAGCUGAGGUAACUGACAUGGUGAGCAGAGUUGUGCUAUGAGGAGGCAUACUGAAGACAGCCAUUCUGGAGAACUGAGAGGAGGGUGUGAGGUGUAUCCUACCCACCUCUUGAACAAACGUAUACCAACUAAUCCUUAUAGACAAUGGAGGAGGACCAGGGAAAGUGACUCCCUUUCAUCAGUUUGGGGAACAGCUGAGCUCUGGGAUCAGAGCAGCAUAUUCAGACUGUCACCGAGGGGCAGACUACAGUUACACAUUGUGGAGCAGUGUAUGCUCUGAAGACUUCAGACAGAGAUACACUUCAGAAAAAACAGAGCAUCAGGAGCAGCAUUUCCCAGCAAUUUUUCGAAACUAUGACCUGAUAUAUCUCGAAAACAGUGAGGCCUAGAGAAGAAAAAUUUGACAUGGGCCAGAGCAGGUAGACCACUGCUUCCCCUCACGGCUACUAGACUAUGCCUCAUAUCAGUCACACUGUCCAAACAUCAGUUGUAUGAAGACAGGGCUGGCGGAAACAUGUUCGAAU